ACAAGCACGAACUGGAGGACACCUCCCUUCAAGUGUGCACCUGCCCUAAGGCUUUUCAGAGUGUGGCUUUUCUGCUCCCUGCAGACACACAGGAGCUUUCUCUACACAAGCCCAAGCCUUGUUCCGAAUUUCAAGAGAAAAGAAACACGUGGUGGUUCUCAACUGUCAUCUCUCAGGAGAUUGGAAGCCCCCAGACCUGUCUGUGAGAGCACCUCCAGAGAUGCCUAACGGAGGUGGGAGUAUUCAUCCUGUCUACGGACAGCCUCGGUCUAUGAACCAGAUGCAUUCUAUGGGCCACACACUGAACUAAAGGGAAACGCAAUGGAUCACCAGCGUGCAUCUCUCUCUGCUUCCUGUCUGAGGACACAGUGUGACCAGAUGCCUCAGGCUCCUGCCACCAUAGCUGAGAAGGCUGACUCCACCUCCAUGGUCCCCAACACAGAGACUGUGACCUCAGCUCAUUAGCCAUAGCAGAUUUCUCUUUCCUUAUGAUGCUUUUGUCAUGGCAAUGAGAUGAUGAACUGAUGAAAAUAGAAAUGCAAUGUUCUAGAGACUCAGCUAAGAUAAUGUUUAAAUGGUCAUGAUAUUAUAAGCAAAGAUUAUCUAGCUGCAAACUGAAA